GAUCAAUGGAGAAUACUUGAAUGCAAAGUCACAAGGGCCAGUUGAGAUUCGAAAGUCUUCCCCAGCGGUCGCAGCACAGUUUCCUAUUCGCUAGAUCGUUGUGAUUUUCGCCAGUCUUGCCGGUAGCAAAACACGUCAGGUCAAGUGCAGGUGUACUCCUCUACAGGCGUCUACACCAACACAGAACUUUUGCCGUUAUUAGUGUUGUGUUGUUUUCGUUAUUAUUAUUUUUCUUUGUGCGUACGAGAUGGGAUUAAUAGAAACGCUGCGCUUUCGCGUUCUUCCCUAUUGGAAGACGUACGUGUUGGUCCUUUUGCCGUUGAUCCUUUUACCGUUACCGGUGAUCGGUCAAGGAAAGGAAGCACGAGCGGGCUAUGUAAUCAUCAUAAUGGCCGUUUUCUGGAUGACGGAAGCUCUGCCUUUGGCCAUCACCAGUCUGCUUCCGGUUGUCCUCUUCCCCUUACUAGGCAUCAUGGGCACCGGAAAAGUGUGCACGGCUUACAUGAAAGAAACGAACAUGAUGUUUAUCGGAGGCUUGAUGGUAGCUCUGACGAUCGAACACUGCAAUUUGCAUAAGAGGAUCGCCCUAAGAGUGCUGCUGUUGGUCGGCGCUAGUCCUAGAUGGUUGAUGCUAGGAUUCAUGUUAACGACUAUGUUUCUAUCCAUGUGGAUUUCCAAUACAGCUACGACUGCCAUGAUGGUUCCCAUCGUUGAAGCAGUCGUUCAAGAGCUUUUCAAGGAUGGCGAAGAAGAAAUGAAGAGAGAGCCGAACGUGCGUAUGGUUCCAGACGGGAUGUCGACGUGUUCUUCCAACAACACACUUGAGAUCGAUCUGGAUUCAUCCGAAAGUCAGAAUCUCGAGGCAGUUUCCAUUGAUUCCAUUGCCGAUGUGGGUAAAAGCUGCCAGGAGCUAACAGCAGCUUCCGCGGACCAAAGGUCCUAUAGUUGCACGACUCACGAAUACAAACAAACAAUUCGUACGUGUGUCCUUAUGUCCAUUGCUUACUCUUCGAACAUUGGAGGUACUGGGUCUCUUAUUGGAUCAAGUCCCCAAUUAGCUCUCAAAGGAAUUUUAGAUGAGUUGUAUGGAUCCGCUCCUGGUUUGAAUUUUGCUUCGUGGAUGGCCUUCAAUGUCCCAGGCAUGCUUAUCAACACGUUCCUGGCAUGGAUUUGGCUGCAGUGUCUCUUCCUCGGAUUCAAACGAACAACUGCUGAUGACAAUACGCAAGCUGCAGUCAUUAAGAAAUUGAUUCGUAGAAAAUACGAAGAAUUGGGACCUAUGACGUUCCACGAAUUGGCGACAUUGAUCUUAUUCAUUUUGUGCGUUGCACUCUGGUUUUUCCGUGACCCACAAUUCAUUACUGGAUGGGCCGAAUUCCUACCCGCGGUAGAAGUGGAUGAUGCCACUGCAGUGAUGACCAUCGUCCUGCUUCUUUUUAUCAUCCCCGCAAAACCGAGAUUUUGGAACCGUGACACAGCAGAGAGAAAUCGGGCUGGGCCCAGUCCUGCCCUUUUGGAAUGGAAAUUGGUGCAGGAUAGAUUACCAUGGGGAAUCGUUCUCCUAUUAGGUGGCGGCUUUGCCUUAUCUGACGCCUCUAAAGCAUCAGGUCUUUCUUCUUGGCUUGGAGAUCAAUUAGCUGUUUUGAGUUUCCUGCCUCCGUUCGCCAUCAUGUUGAUUAUCUGCAUCAUGACGGCCGCCGUUACAGAAGUGGCAUCUAACACAGCGACAGCAAACAUCCUUUUGCCGAUUCUCGCUGAAAUGGCAGUAACGAUUAAAGUUAACCCACUCUUCCUGAUGUUACCUGCUACUGUGACUUGUUCGUAUGCAUUUAUGCUACCAGUUGCCACUCCACCCAAUGCAAUUGUUUUCGCCGCCGGUAGAAUGAAUCCGACUGAUAUGGUGAAAGCGGGUUUACUAAUGAACAUAGUAUGCGUCGUUGUCAUUUGCGUGCUGAUGGCUAGCUUUGGUAGUUUCAUGUUCGGCUUCGACGAAUUCCCCGAUUGGGCUGUGCCGCAAGUGAAAAAUGCAACCAUGACAACAUUGUCACAAUUUUCGAACUGCACAUCUCCGUGAACGAAUUCGUCGUGAACAACGGGAACAUAGGGGAAAGAAGUGAUGUGGGUGAGCUUGAAUAUACUCUACGGUACUGGGAAUAACGCUUUGGCCAUGGAUAGGUAUAUAGACCAAAAAGGUUGAUAACCAUUUUUUUAGUGUACACGACAAUCAGUCAAUAUUUCAGCGCUUUAUUGCAUAAUCUUUGCUGUUUUGCUAUUAUCGUUAGUUAAAGCUUGCAAAAAUUUACAUUCAAACCUGUUUACCCAAAUACAUUGUUUUCUUUAAAGUU